rnacentral:tRNA from 1 species
AUUUGAGAAGCUAUCGCAGCGAUGAGCUUUUAACUCAUAGACAGGUUUACGCCCUCAAUUA